AUUGAACGCUGGCGGCAGGCUUAACACAUGCAAGUCGAGCGGGGAGAUGUAGCUUGCUACAUUUCCUAGCGGCGGACGGGUGAGUAAUGCUUAGGAAUCUGCCAUUUAGUGGGGGACAACAUUCCGAAAGGAAUGCUAAUACCGCAUACGUCCUACGGGAGAAAGCAGGGGAUCUUCGGACCUUGCGCUAAAUGAUGAGCCUAAGUCGGAUUAGCUAGUUGGUGGGGUAAAGGCCUACCAAGGCGACGAUCUGUAGCGGGUCUGAGAGGAUGAUCCGCCACACUGGGACUGAGACACGGCCCAGACUCCUACGGGAGGCAGCAGUGGGGAAUAUUGGACAAUGGGGGGAACCCUGAUCCAGCCAUGCCGCGUGUGUGAAGAAGGCCUUUUGGUUGUAAAGCACUUUAAGCGAGGAGGAGGCUACCUGGAUUAAUACUCUAGGAUAGUGGACGUUACUCGCAGAAUAAGCACCGGCUAACUCUGUGUCAGCAGCCGCCGUAACAC
rnacentral:rRNA from 1 species